rnacentral:tRNA from 1 species
GAAGGUGUGGUCUUGUAGUUAAGACAGUUGACUAGGAAUCAAGAACUGAGGUUCAAGUCCCAGCUCCUAUG